ensembl:ncRNA T01G1.6 ncRNA
GGAGGCGGAGCUAAUGUGGCCAUCAUCAUCAUCAUCAUCACACGAGACGAUGCUCUUUUCCUCUUUUCACACUCUAUCACUCUUAGUAUCUUUCUUCAGUCUCAGGCACAUCUCAAAGAAGACAUGAUGAUGUGUGCUCA